UCCCUCCCUGGGCGAGCGGGAGGAGCCGGGCUGCGCGUGUGUGUUCCUCGGUGCCCGUCUCCCCCGCUCUCACGCAGCAGUCCCUGAGGAAGAUUGGAGGGGGGCGGGGGGGGGGAAGCGAGCGACCAGCCUUCUCCUAAAGACCUGCCAUUAUUAUCCCCCUCCUCUUCCAAACAAGCGCCUCUCCCGCGCUUCCCCUCAGAACAUCCUCCUCGCUCGCUCCCGCCCACUAGCCCUUUCCAGUCUGGUGCCUGGAUCCAGCCAUAUCUACACCCGCCCACUCUUUUCCCUCAGGCACAAGGCUCGGCUCUCGCGCUCCCAACCUUCAAAGAGCCCCUGAGCACAAGCUCCACCUUCCACCCCUGCCCGCUUCAGACGGGGCGGCGUCUCCCGCCGUGGCCGGCUACCGGCUUGUAAAUUCGCUCCCGCCACCAGCACCGUAGUAGGGCUCUCACGCGUACACACCAAGCUAGCUGACACGGCCAGGAGAGAGUUUUUAAGUACCUCCUAGGGCCCAGGGAAGAAGAGGUUUGUCGAGUUCACCCAGCACGACGGAGAUGAGGUGGAGCGCUAGUACAGAGUCAGACACACUCUCGGCGCCAGAAGGAGCCUUGUCAUUAGUCAGGAAAAGACGCGGUGCAUGAAAGAAAGAAAGAAAGAAAGAAAAAGAAAGAGAGAUGGGACUUCAUAAUGCUAAUAAGAAAGAGAAACGUGUUGACUGGUGUGCGAGCGAGCAGAAGACGGGCAUGCUGAAAAUAAUGGCCCUUGGAGUGCACUGGUUACAUCCGAAUGACCAUAGGAAUAGAAUGAAUUUCCAAAUGGCCAUUGCAGGACUACAUACAUUAAAACCAAGGAGGGACAUCUCUGUACAUCUGUGCUACGAUGUCCCUUCUUCAUAUCCACAGGAUGAGAACACUCAGUAUACAUCUUUCCCAAUAGUCCAGGCCAGCGUUUCCGCUGGAGGCGUAAAGGGACUUCUUCCCCACCAAAUAAGGGAUGGGGACUUGGGGAGAACACUGCUAAUACACUUCCAGUGCUGAAGAUCUAUGGUGAUGGAAAAGAACCUAAGAUAACAUCUUCCACUGAGGAUGCUCCCCUAAUGGAUAUUACUUCGGGUCUGCAGGCUAAUUAUUUAGAUUCUGAUCCCCAGGCGGAGAAGGCCCUCGAUGGGCAGCUCCAGGCCCGAUCUGAUUGAUAGCCCCUGCAGAUAAACUGUCACUCCUCUUGUGGAAUCUAGCUGGGUGGGAGAACAAAGCCCGAGAUCCUGGCCUUUUGACGUUUAUUGCUGUGUUUGACGCUCAGGCAAGCAAGAUUUGGUCUGGACUGGAGGCCUUUAUAGGUGACAUACAGUCCACAUAUCAUGGAGCUUACCUAAUAGUGGCUGGAGACUUUAACACGCGAAUUGGAACAGAUGAUAAAACUCUUUUUGCCAAAUGCCAGGGGUGUCCUCCCGAUCAGGAUGUGCCUCCCCCCCUCCUAGUUAGACAAUCCAAAGAUAUAGUGGGGAAUUUCUGUAGUUUAAAUCUACUCCAGACCUUUAGCAAGGCAGAUUUGCACCGGCUGAAUGGGGCGGCUUUGAGUGAUUUCCCGGCAGAAUUUACUCAUUGGGCUGGCUCCAAACUCUCAUUUAUCGACUUUACAGCUAUAUCUUGUAAUUUAGCACCUCAUAUAAAGAAAUUUCACAUUAUUAGUCGCCCAGAAAAUGAUCAUUUUCCAAUGAACUUGAUCAUUGGCUGGAGGGGGAAACUGCAUUUGGACUGUAAUCAAGUUCCAGUUAGAGAUGAGGAGCAAUGUCCACAGCAUGUGAAAUGGUCUUCCAGCCAACAAAAUUUAGUAGCCAUGGUUCUAAACUCACAGCAAGCCUGCAGUUUACAAACUGCUUUAAUUACCGCAUGACUCUUGCGAGCUCGCUAUGUUAGAACAUUAUAAUAAAUGGGCUCAGUUAUUACAGCCAGCACUUGCCGCUAUGAAACCCUUAUCUAAUAAGGUGGGGAAAUUAUUCUUUUGUCCAUGGUUUGAUGCUAGUUGCCAAGAGGCAAAAAGAAACCUUAUUAAUGCAUUUAAAUUCGACACUGAAGGUUCUACUAUAUAUAUGGCCUAGGAUUUGUUAGAAAUGAAAAGAUAGUACAAAAAACUAUUAAGGGGGAAAAAAGAAUUGGCCACUAGGGAGACCUGGGAUCAGUUGAUUGCUGCUACCAAAAUGAAGAACCCAGCAGUGUUUUGGCACCUUGUAUCACAACCUAUGGGGAGGGUACCCGUCAGUUCAUCUUCAGUUAUACCAGCUGGGAUAUGGGAGUGUCACUUCUACGCAUUGUAUACGUGGGAAGGACCUAGCGUGUUUAGACCAGUGUUUCUCAACCGCCGGUCCGCGGACCGCUGCCGGUCCGCGGAGGGUUGAGUGCCGGUCCGCGACCCAGCUGCUAGGAAGGCAGGGCUCUGAAGAGUAGGCGGCGGCAGCAAUUGGAGCCGAACCGUUUCCAUUUGUUUUUCUCUCCCCGGUAUAAGCUUGGCCAAUAUGGGUGGAGCAGGGGCGGGGCUUGUGCCGAAGCGGGAAGAUGGCCUGUGAGUGCAGGAAUUGGGGCAGGCUUGUGCCGAGGCUGAAACCCACCCUUCCUGCCUGCUGGCGUCUCCCGCGGCAGACUUCAGCUUGGAAGCACCUCGGGCACUAGGAGCUCCAGCAGCAGCAAGGAAGCCCGCAGGAGGCGGCGGUGGCGGCGAGCAAGAGGCUGCUGCUGCUGCUGCCGCCUCAAAGCCCAGCCAGCCCGAGAGCAGGACGCUGCACCUCCCGCGCAAGACGCCGCAAACCGCAAGCUCUGGCCCCACAGCGAGCGAGAGCCAGCGCCCACGAGAGGAGCGGCAGGACGCGGCGGCGGCAGUAGCUCCAGGGUCGGAGAGCCGCUUUGGGUUUCCUAAUAGCAUGGAGGACCGCUCCGCAGCUUUACUGGAAAUAUGGCGAGAUCUUCCAUGCUGUCAGGUGAAGUGUUCUACCUCUCGAUGUAGGAGCAGUCCUCCAACCUAUGAUAGGAAGCACGGGUACUGGGAAAGAUUAAAAAACCCCUAAAUCCAUCUGCUGUAAAAGAGUGAACCAUGGCCUCCUGAACCACCAAGGCACAAUGAGGAUGCACUGGACAGACUCUCUUCAGAAUGACAUGGUGGAUUAACGUAACUGGCGGAAACAGGUAAGUGUGUUGCUCAUUCCAAGGAACCACAGACACAUCCCCCAAUAGUUUCGGCCUAUGCUGCUUCAGGAGCAAAAUUGUACACACUGAGCAUUGCUCCCCGUUGGCAAGGCAUCCAAUGCUGGCGUGCCCCAGCUGCCAAACAGAUGACAAAGAAUUCGACUGCCCAUGGCCCACUUGUGUGACACAGCGGACGUUUGACUCAGUGCAUCAGCUUGAUGGUUUGUCAUGCCCCGGAUGUGAACCGCUACAGAUGUUACCUUGUGGGUGAUGCACCAGGCCCCAAAAGACAUUGCCAGGGUUAACAGCACCCUCGAUGCGAUGCCACCCUGCCUCUUGACAUAAGACUUAGCAGUAGUGUUGUCUCUCUGAACUGUCACCACCUCCCACUGCAGCAGAGGAAGAAACCCUUUCAGGGCUUUGAAAAUGGCCAAGAGUUCCAAGUAACUGAUGUGUCAGCGACGUUCUUCAUUGCUCCAGUGGCUGCUCAGAAAGAGGUCUUCCAUGCAAGCUCCCCAUCCUGUCUGGGAUGAGUCUGUAGUAAUUACUUGGGCAGGCAAGUGGAUGUGGAAAGAGUUGCCUUAGGCCAAAUGAUGUAUGCGAGUCCACCAGUCCAGGGAUGUCCAUACCCGUGUUGGUGGGUAAAAGAAGAGGAAUGGAUUGUUCCUUUGAGGAUUGAAAUCCUCUGCAGGUACCACCUCUGCAGGAUGUGCAUAUGGAGCCAAGUGUAAGGGAGCACAUAAGUGGUGGCAGCCAUGUACCCUAGAAGACACUGGAUAGCCUUUACGUGGUUUUUCUCUGCAGACAUCACACAACACAUCAGGGAGGCCUGUGUAGAUAUGGGCCUCUGGGAAGAAAUCAUGAUCUGCCCUUGUGUCGAAAAUUAGACCAAUAAACUGGAGCCAUCUGGAUGGAAUUAAGUGGGACUUCUUGUAGUUCACUUGGAGACCUAGAGUUUCCACCAUGUGAAUGGUGUGGUCCACCAUGGCUGAAGCUUCCUAGACAGAAUCUGCUGCAAUCAGCAAGUCAUCCAGAAAUGGGAAAAUCUGGACUCCUGACUCCUGUAGGAAGGCCACCACCAGGGCCAUGCACUUUGUGAAAACUCUUGGGGCUGGCCAGGCCAAACGGAAGGACUUUGAAUUGGACACUUUGCAGCUAAACAUGCACGGAAGAAGACCUCCAAGGUCCCUUCCGAUUCAAACAUUCUAUGAUAUCUCAACUUAGUCUUCUGUCAAUGCUGUGCAAAGCUUGUAUGGCAUAACUUGGACUGUUACAUAUUAAGAAUAUAUAUGUACACAUCAUAUAGGAUAGUAAUUUGCUUUUCCAAGCAGAAAUAACUUUUAUUUGCAGCAAGCCAACAUCCCUGUUUCAACAAUCCAACCCAAAAGCUUUUAAAGUAAUUACUC